AGGGGUGGGAUAGAAUGUGUGUUUGAUGAGGGGAUCAGCCUUUCUAUUGGUCAACUCCAGGAAACCCCGCCUUCGGUACAUUUUUAACCAAUGGAAGGGCAGCAUUCUUAAUUUAAACUGUGUAUAAAGCUUGGCUGGGUCAACGACUGUAGUGCGCCUGAGUUUUGAACCGCGCGCCGUUGUUUGGAGGGUACUUCGCCUUGGUUACCUGAAUUGCAGGUCGGGAUGACCGUCCCCUCCCUCGAGGAGCUGGACUCCUUCAAAUACAAUGACUUGCAGAACUUGGCCAAGAGUCUGGGUCUCCGGGCUAACCUGAGGGCAGACAAGCUGCUAAAAGCCUUGAAAGCCCACCUGAAACGGGAAGCAAGAAAAGAAAAUGGAAAUCAGGAUGAAAGCCAAACUUCUGCAUCCUCUUGUGAUGAGACUGAGCUGCAGAUCAGCAGUCAGAAACAAGCUGAGUGGGAACCAGCUGGCCAUGUCACCAAGAAAAGGAGAAGGCGCAGGACUGUCCACAGCAAUCCUGACUCCCAGCAGGAUCAUUCAGAGAUAAAAUCAAGUGAUCCCAUUGAGUUCCAGAAUCAAGAAAAGCAGGAAAACCAGGCUCUCACACCUGUUGCAGAAGUUCCAUCUCCACCAGAUGAGAGACAAGGAAACGAGAAUGCAAUGUCCUCGGGAAAUAGUGGAAUAAAUGGUAAUGAAGAUUCAAAGGUACCUUCAGAAAGAAAGAAGUCUGUCUACACAGAUGGGUUUUCUAAAUCUGGAAAAAAUAAAAGAAUUGCAACUACUACUCCAAACUUUAAGAAGCUUCAUGAGGCCCAUUUUAAGGAAAUGGAGUCCAUUGAUCAAUAUAUUAAGAGAAAAAAGAAAAAUUUUGAACAACACAAUUCACUUAAUGAACUGAAGAAGCGUUCCAUAACUAAGGAAGUGGUGGCAACUCCAGUGGGUCUCCAAAGAAGAUUUUCUAUGGCUUGUACUCCCUCAAGCCAGCAGCGCUCACCAGGCCCGGCCCAGGGUGCUGCAGAUCUGAGCACCUUGUAUAUGAAGGGGUCGGUCAAGCGUUCCACUCUCUCAGCAACUAAAAUGAAUGUCAGGUUUUCAGCUGCUACUAAAGAUAAUGAAUACAAACGUUCACUGACCAAGACUCCAGCCAGAAAGUCUCCACAUGUGUCCAUAUCUGGGAAUACCCCAAAAGGCCAGGCUGUGCUUGGGACAAACAAGUUAAAGGCCACAAAGAGGGAUUCUGCUACAGUUAUUACCCCAUUCAAGUUUUCAGCUGAAGCAGCACAGACUCCAGUCUCCAACAAGAAACCAGUGUUUGAUCUCAAAGCAAGUUUGUCUCGUCCCCUCAACUAUGAGCCACACAAAGCUAUCAAAGGAUCCCAGGCUGCUGGGAACCACCGGUCCAACAACUGGGAUGUUCAUUGGCCAGAUGUCUUUGAGCAUAUAUUAAAGAAAACUGAAACCAUGGGGACAGUCUAAAGAAAAUAAGUCUCUGAAUGAGCAUGUAAGCAGAGUUAGCUUCCACAAGUAUACUUACAAACAACCUCGUCUUCAGACCAGGGAGGAGCAACGGAAGAAACAUGAGCAACAACGAAAGGAGAAGAAAGCAGAGGUGUUGGGAACUCGAAGGGGCCUUAUUAUGGCUGCAGAUUAAUAGUUUAACAUUCUGUAAAUAUUCCUUUAUUCUGAACCUUUUUUGUAAAUAUUCUUAUACUGUCCUUCCUCCUUUAGUCAAAAGGUCUUUUUCUGCUCUUAACUUUGUUCCUAAGUCCCUGUACAACUCAGUAUUUUAAUGAGAUCUAUCCUAUACUUUUUUUCCCCAUCCUAUAGAUUCUUGACCUAGAUUUUUAAUGUCAAUUCCCCCCUCCUGGCUCUAAUAUUAACAGAAUUGCAGUCCUCUUCUAGGCAAGAGCAUUUACCUAAAGGUAGCUUAUUAUAACACAAGCUUUAGUAGAAAUUGAACAGUAAUAACUUAUGGAAAGGGUAAGCUGGGAGAAGUCCCCUUUUUAUCCUUCAAAGAAUCUAGUCAUCUUAAUAAAACAAGGGGCCAUAUGGAUUGGUUAUGGCAUCAAAAUUUUACCCACGUGGUUUUCUUCAAGCUUACACACCUUUUGUUCAACUCACUUGUAAUUGUCAUCUCACUCAAUAUAUUCUUUUUUUUAUCUUUAAUUUCUUUACUGGUUAAGGUAUUACAAAUGUACAUAUUCUUAAAAACAAAAACUAUAGCUCAUUCUAGCCUUGCUUAUUUAACAAUAUACAAGGCCAUGUUGAAAUUUCAGGAUUGUUGCUUUAAGGAUUACUGUGCUGUCAAACUUAAAUUUUAUUCAACUUAUGGAAAAACUAGAGUUUCUUAGCAUCAUAUCCAUGUUUGUUGCACCUAACUGGAACUUCUGAGUUUUGUACUGCUUCAGAUUUUCAUAAAUAAAGUGUUUUCUCUCACGGGUA